rnacentral:pre_miRNA from 14 species
GCGUACGAAGGGCAUUUCUCACGGGAGGUCACAUGCUUCUUUAUAUACCCAUAUGAACUACAUUGUUAUGGAAUGUAAGGAAGUGUGUGGCUUCUCUGAGUCCAUCUCCGGCCGACAUUA